CAGUGAGCCAAAGUCCGAGUGUGGUGGCAUUCCCAAAGCAAUAUCUGGUUCGGGACAAGCUGGAUAGCAGUUCACCGCCAUGACUUGAUUCUUAUAACCGUCAAAGGAUAACAAGUUUUGUAGAUAGUGAAGAUGGCCAGAUAGGUUUACUUACUUGUAGCAUUGAGGGUUGGAUGGCCACAAAUCAAUCCACUGUGAGAGAGGAUGGGAGUAAUGUUUGAUGAAAUCUCUCCAGUAAUGAACUUUGUCUGUUGAAUGGUUAAAGCUGGUGCCAUACCGUACUGGCGUAUGAACAUUAUCAGAGCCCAGAAGCAUCUUCUCAUCGACAGGCCAUUUUAAUCUCAUGGAUGACACAGGGUCUAAGCAAAGGAUCGUGUAAGAGGGAGAGAUCAAUGACUGGGAGUGUGAUGGUAUCUGUGCCACUGCUUGAACCGAGCAUUGGUCGUUGUGAAGGUGGAAGAAUGUAACGGGUAGGCACGCGAAGGACACCUGACUCGGGGAGACAAAGAAGAUAGAGUAGAAAGAAAGUGGUGAGAUUCAAUGGAAGGAGGAAGAAGGAAAUGAACAAAAAUAAUAGAAAAUAAGUGGUGACAAUUGAGAGAUAGUUUCAACUUGGUGUGUGUGGUUCCAAAAUUCAAUCUGCCACUUCUUUUCCCAAGUAAUGAAAUGUUUUUUAAACAUCUUUAACUUUGAGAAGUCUCUUCUGAAACGCGUUAAGUUUCGGCUUAUGUCGGUGUUUGGGCCAAGGAAUUGUUAGCCCACCUUCGGCCGCAUCCGUCGUUUUAUAUCAAUGGGACUUUUUCCCUUCUUUUUUUUUUGUCUACUGUAUUUUUCU